rnacentral:rRNA from 1 species
CCUACGGGAGGCAGCAGUGGGGAAUAUUGGGCAAUGGAGGAAACUCUGACCCAGCAACGCCGCGUGAAUGAUGAAGGUCUUCGGAUUGUAAAGCUCUUUUCUAAGGGAAGAAGAAAGUGACGGUACCUUAGGAAUAAGCCUCGGCUAACUACGGGCAAGCAGCCGCGGCAAUACGUAGGAGGCAAGCGUUAUUCGGAAGGACUGGGCGUAAAGGGUGCGUCGGUGGUUUGUCAAGUUGGUAGCGAAACUCCGGGGCUCAACCUCGGCACGACUCCCAAAACUGUCGGACUAGAGUGCAGGAGGGGCAAAGGGAAUGCCUAGUGUAGCGGUGGAAUGCGUAGAUAUUAGGAGGAACACCAGUGGCGAAGGCGAUUUGCUGGACUGUAACUGACGCUGAGGCACGAAAGCGUGGGGAGCAAACAGGAUUAGAUACCCUAGUAGUC